GAAAUAGUCGGUGUGCCCAUACUUCUUGCGACAAUUAUUAUCAAGGGGAUGGAGACGAGCGUAGCACUUACGGCCACCACCUGUAUCAUCUGUGUUGUACACCAGGGUGGUAGCUCUUGCUGAUGAAGGAUUAUGUCGGGCCCAUCCGGUCCGCACAACCGACUGCCAUGGAAUUGAGUUGAUUACGUUGUUGAUGUUACUGAGGUACAUUUGGCAGCACUAUGGGUGUCCUUGGGUUUGCUCUGCAAGUAAAAAAAAACAAAAAAAUCAAUUGUAAUUUUAGAAUAGAAGCAAAUAAUAAAUAUACCAUAAAAUGCUCA